CAUUCUCUGGGGGGGGGCCUGUAUAAGCCCCAAGAUGUAAAGCAUGAAGAACACUUAAUCCCCUGUCCAUUCUAACAGCUCUAGUCCCCAUGCCUCACACCAAAUGAAGGAAACCAGAGCAGGGAGCAAAAACAUGGUAGAACUCCUCUGGAAAGGCUGACCCUCCGACCAUAGACCAAGCCCCACAAUCCCUAUGAACCACUGAGAAUUUAGUUUGUUGCCAACCACUACUCUGAGCUUCACAACUCUGGGAGGUCUGCAUGGAACACACCCUGGCUAGAAGUCAGAAUGGCAUUUAAUAACUGACUCAAUGACAACAUGCAAUCCUUUUUAAUUUCUAAAAUUUUUAUUUAUUUGGUUGCCCCUUGGCAUGUGGACCUCUUGCACCAGGGAUCAGAUCUGAGCUGCGUUUGUAACCCAAGGCACAGCUGCAAUGCCAGACUCUUAACCCACUGUGCCUACUUCCCAAGUUGCCGCAAAUGCCUUUGCACCACAGCAGAACUCCUGCAAUCCAUUUUUAAUAUUUCUGAUCAUGGUGAGGAACAAGUCUCACUUUGAUGGCAAUGCAUCUUUCCCUGCAGUGUUUUUUUUCUUUUUAGGGCCGCACUGUGGCCUCCUGGGAACCUCCAUAUGCCACAGGAGUGGCCCUAGAAAAAGACAAAAAAAAAAAAAAAAUUAUGGAGUUCCCUUGUGGCACAGCUGGUUAAAGUCCUGGUGUUGUCACUGCAGCAGCUCAGGUAGCUGCUGUGGCAUGGGUUUAAUCCAUGGCCUGGGAACUUCCACAUGCCACAGUCUUUGCCAAAAAAAUCUUUAGGGGAGGAGUUCCCAUUGUAGUGCAGUGGAAAUGAAUCUGACUAGGAACCAUGAGGUUUCAGGUUUGAUCCCUGGCCUUGCUCAGUGGGUUAAGGAUCUGGCAUUGCUGUGAGCUGUGGCGUAGGUUGCAGAUGAGGCUUGCAUCUGGCAUGGCUGUGACUGUGGUAUAGCUGUAGUUCCGAUCAGACCCCUAGCCUGGGAACCUCCAUGUGCUGCAAGUGUGGCCCUAAAGGAAAAAAAAAA
rnacentral:lncRNA from 1 species